AUACGUAGGGAGCGAGCGUUGUCCGGAAUUACUGGGUGUAAAGGGAGCGUAGGCGGGAGUGCAAGUCAGAUGUGAAAUACAUGGGCUCAACCCAUGGGCUGCAUUUGAAACUGCAUUUCUUGAGUGAAGUAGAGGUAAGCGGAAUUCCUAGUGUAGCGGUGAAAUGCGUAGAUAUUAGGAGGAACAUCGGUGGCGAAGGCGGCUUACUGGGCCUUUACUGACGCUGAGGCACGAAAGCGUGGGGAGCAAACAGGAUUAGAUACCCUGGUAGUCCACGCUGUAAACGAUGAUGACUAGGUGUGGGGGGACUGAACCCUUCCGUGCCGCAGUUAACACAAUAAGUCAUCCACCUGGGGAGUACGGCCGCAAGGUUGAAACUCAAAUGAAUUGACGGGG
rnacentral:rRNA from 1 species